UACGGGGGGGGCAAGCGUUGUUCGGAAUUACUGGGCGUAAAGGGCUCGUAGGCGGCCAACUAAGUCGGACGUGAAAUCCCCAGGCUCAACCUGGGAACUGCGUCUGAUACUGGAUGGCUUGAAUCCGGGAGAGGGAUGCAGAAUUCCAGGUGUAGCGGUGAAAUGCGUAGAUAUCUGGAGGAAUACCGGUGGCGAAGGCGGCAUCCUGGACCGGCAUUGACGCUGAUGCGCGAAAGCGUGGGGGGCAAACAGG
rnacentral:rRNA from 1 species